GGGACUUCCAGCUUUUGAGCGGGUGCAAACGUUGAUGGGUUGAAAGUGAAAACUUUUCCCGAAACAACUCAGGCUGCAGAUUUAUCUCCAGCAUAGAAGUAUGAAAAUCUGGUUUAUUUUUUGCUCUUUGCGUAUCUCAGCUAUGAUGUCUGGUAAAAGUUUAACAAAAUUUUUGACAUUUCCAUAAACGAAGGAAUAAAGUUUCACCAUGAUAUCCCUCCGAAGCGAGCUGUUCUUUACUCUCCUUAUCAUUCUGUUGUCAACUUCAUGUUUAUUAGAAGCUGGAACUAUUCAUAGCUCCUUAGGCACUGGUGAAACUAAUCGUGGAUGGAAACCCGGAGGCAAAAGAAGCAUGGAUUGUUCUCUGCUACAAUCUGAAGCCCUUUUAUCAAUUCUUGAAGUCGUAAAGGAAGAAGCUGCCAAAAUAUCUAUGUGCGAAAGGGUUCAUUAUGAAGAAAAGGCUGUUUGGUGACUUUCUGUUGAUAGCCUCUUCUAGCAUUUUAAUGCUUUCAAAAUUCUAUUUAUGAAUGUAAUUUAUUUAAAUUCUUUAUUAAAGUAACAUUAUUAGCAUA